AAAUUGCCUUUGACAUUGGCACUUUGCUAGACCUUUGUCAAUUAAGACUCAAGGCUAUAUAAUAUAGCCUUGAGUCUUGACAAAGGUCUAGCAAAGUGCCAAUGUCAAUUGUCAAAGGCAAUUUAAUAUUGUC